UGGUUCUGGCAUCGAUGAAGAACGCAGCGAAAUGCGAUAAGUAAUGUGAAUUGCAGAAUUCAGUGAAUCAUCGAAUCUUUGAACGCACAUUGCGCCCGCCAGUAUUCUGGCGGGCAUGCCUGUUCGAGCGUCAUUUCAACCAUCAAGCCCUGCUUGUGUUGGGGUACUGCGGCUGCCCGCAGGCCCUGAAAACCAGUGGCGGGCUCGCUAGUCACACCGAGCGCAGUAGCACAUCUCGCUCAGGGCGUGCGGCGGGUUCUUGCCGUUAAACAACUCCUUUUUUACUAAGGUUGACCUCGGAUCAGGUAGGAAUACCCGCUGA
rnacentral:misc_RNA from 1 species